CUGGGUUUGACAUGCACAGGACGCCAGUAGAGAUAUUGGUUCCCUUGUGGCCUGUGUGCAGGUGGUGCAUGGCUGUCGUCAGCUCGUGUCGUGAGAUGUUGGGUUAAGUCCCGCAACGAGCGCAACCCUUGUCUCAUGUUGCCAGCGGGUAAUGCCGGGGACUCGUGAGAGACUGCCGGGGUCAACUCGGANGAAGGUGGGGAUGACGUCAAGUCAUCAUGCCCCUUAUGUCCAGGGCUUCACACAUGCUACAAUGGCCGGUACAAAGGGCUGCGAUGCCGUGAGGUGGAGCGAAUCCUUUCAAAGCCGGUCUCAGUUCGGAUCGGGGUCUGCAACUCGACCCCGUGAAGUCGGAGUCGCUAGUAAUCGCAGAUCAGCAACGCUGCGGUGAAUACGUUCCC
rnacentral:rRNA from 1 species